AACGAACGCUGGCGGCAGGCCUAACACAUGCAAGUCGAGCGGCACCUUCGGGUGUAGCGGCGGACGGGUUAGUAACGCGUGGGAACGUACCCUUUUCUACGGAAUAGCCUCGGGAAACUGAGAGUAAUACCGUAUACGCCCUUCGGGGGAAAGAUUUAUCGGAGAAGGAUCGGCCCGCGUCUGAUUAGAUAGUUGGUGGGGUAAUGGCCUACCAAGUCUACGAUCAGUAGCUGGUUUUAGAGGAUGAUCAGCAACACUGGGACUGAGACACGGCCCAGACUCCUACGGGAGGCAGCAGUGGGGAAUCUUAGACAAUGGGCGCAAGCCUGAUCUAGCCAUGCCGCGUGAGUGAUGAAGGCCUUAGGGUCGUAAAGCUCUUUCGCCAGAGAUGAUAAUGACAGUAUCUGGUAAAGAAACCCCGGCUAACUCCGUGCCAGCAGCCGCGGUAAUACGGAGGGGGUUAGCGUUGUUCGGAAUUACUGGGCGUAAAGCGCACGUAGGCGGAUCAGAAAGUUGGGGGUGAAAUCCCAGGGCUCAACCCUGGAACGGCCUCCAAAACUCCUGGUCUUGAGUUCGAGAGAGGUGAGUGGAAUUCCGAGUGUAGAGGUGAAAUUCGUAGAUAUUCGGAGGAACACCAGUGGCGAAGGCGGCUCACUGGCUCGAUACUGAC
rnacentral:rRNA from 1 species